rnacentral:rRNA from 1 species
GACGAACGCUGGCGGCGUGCUUAACACAUGCAAGUCGAACGCUGAAGCUUGGUGCUUGCACUGGGUGGAUGAGGGGCGAACGGGUGAGUAAUACGUGAGUAACCUGCCCUUGACUCUGGGAUAAGCCUGGGAAACUGGGUCUAAUACUGGAUACGACAUGUCACCGCAUGGUGGUGUGGGGAAAGGGGUUUACUGGUUUUGGAUGGGCUCACGGCCUAUCAGCUUGUUGGUGGGGUAAUGGCUCACCAAGGCGACGACGGGUAGCCGGCCUGAGAGGGUGACCGGCCACACUGGGACUGAGACACGGCCCAGACUCCUACGGGAGGCAGCAGUGGGGAAUAUUGCACAAUGGGCGGAAGCCUGAUGCAGCGACGCCGCGUGAGGGAUGACGGCCUUCGGGUUGUAAACCUCUUUCAGCACGGAAGAAGCGAAAGUGACGGUACGUGCAGAAGAAGCGCCGGCUAACUACGUG